rnacentral:rRNA from 1 species
GUACACGCUGUGACUAGCAUAUCAAUAAGCGGAGGAAAAGAAACUAACAAGGGAUUCCCCUUAGUAACGGCGAGUGAAGCGGGAAGAGCUCAAAUUUGAAAUCUUAAAGGGUUUCCCUUUACGAAUUGUAGUUUAAAGAAGUGUUUUCUGUUAGAGUUUCGGUAAAAGUUCUUUGGAAUAGGACAUCAUAGAGGGUGAGAAUCCCGUAUUUGACCAUUAUUUUCAGCUUUGUGAUACACUUUCAAAGAGUCGGAUUGUUUGGGAAUGCAGUCCAAAAUGGGUGGUAAAUUUCAUCUAAAGCUAAAUAUUGGCGAGAGACCGAUAGCGAACAAGUACCGUGAGGGAAAGAUGAAAAGAACUUUGAAAAGAGAGUUAAACAGUACGUGAAAUUGUCAAAAGGGAAGCGUUUGACACCAGUGUUGUUUUUCUGAAAAUCAAUUAAAGAACUGUUUAUGCUAAGUUGUUUAGACUUUAUCAGCUAACUGUUUAGUUUUGAGCUUUUCUUUAAUGCACUUUUCAGUUAACAAGUCAACAUCAAUUUCUUUUGCUGUAAAAAAGCUUGAGGAAGGUGGCUUGAGAUUCGUCUUAAGUGUUUAUAGCCUCUUGCCUAUGCAGUCGGAGAGAUUGAGGUCUGCAGCGUAGAUCCUUCGGGGCUAAAUGCAUUUGUGCUAAGUUAUAGCAUUUUAUAGACAACUUGUUGACUAUGAUUUGUCUUGUAGCUUACUCGCUUAUGUUAUUUACCUACGCUUAGGAUGUUGAGCGCAUGUCUCUCUCU